rnacentral:rRNA from 1 species
UACGUAGGUGGCAAGCGUUGUCCGGAUUUAUUGGGUUUAAAGGGUGCGUAGGUGGCCCUGUAAGUCAGUGGUGAAAUAUCUCAGCUUAACUGAGAGGGUGCCAUUGAUACUGCAGGGCUUGAGUACAGAUGAGGUAGGCGGAAUUGAUGGUGUAGCGGUGAAAUGCAUAGAUAUCGUCAAGAACACCGAUAGCGAAGGCAGCUUACCAAGCUGUAACUGACACUGAGGCACGAAAGUGUGGGGAUCAAACAGG